rnacentral:rRNA from 1 species
GUUAUAUGGUCAAGUGAAGAAGCGCAUACGGUGGAUGCCUUGGCAGUCAGAGGCGAUGAAAGACGUGGUAGCCUGCGAAAAGCUUCGGGGAGUCGGCAAACAGACUGUGAUCCGGAGAUAUCUGAAUGGGGGAACCCAGCCAUCAUAAGAUGGUUAUCUUGUACUGAAUACAUAGGUGCAAGAGGCGAACCAGGGGAACUGAAACAUCUAAGUACCCUGAGGAAAAGAAAUCAACCGAGAUUCCCUUAGUAGUGGCGAGCGAACGGGGACCAGCCCUUAAGUUGUAUUGAGAUUAGCGGAACACUCUGGAAAGGGUGGCCAUAGUGGGUGAUAGCCCUGUACGCGAAAAUCCCUUUGCAAUGAAAUCGAGUAGGACGGGGCACGAGAAACCUUGUCUGAAUAUGGGGGGACCAUCCUCCAAGGCUAAAUACUACUGACUGACCGAUAGUGAACCAGUACCGUGAGGGAAAGGCGAAAAGAACCGCGGAGAGCGGAGUGAAAUAGAUCCUGAAACCGUAUGCGUACAAGCAGUGGGAGCCCACUUUGUUGGGUGACUGCGUACCUUUUGUAUAAUGGGUCAGCGACUUAUUUUCAGUGGCGAGCUUAACCGAAUAGGGGAGGCGUAGCGAAAGCGAGUCUUAAUAGGGCGUCUAGUCGCUGGGAAUAGACCCGAAACCGGGCGAUCUAUCCAUGGGCAGGUUGAAGGUUGGGUAACACUAACUGGAGGACCGAACCGACUACCGUUGAAAAGUUAGCGGAUGACCUGUGGAUCGGAGUGAAAGGCUAAUCAAGCUCGGAGAUAGCUGGUUCUCCUCGAAAGCUAUUUAGGUAGCGCCUCAUGUAUCACUGUAGGGGGUAGAGCACUGUUUCGGCUAGGGGGUCAUCCCGACUUACCAAACCGAUGCAAACUCCGAAUACCUACAAGUGCCGAGCAUGGGAGACACACGGCGGGUGCUAACGUCCGUCGUGAAAAGGGAAACAACCCAGACCGUCAGCUAAGGUCCCAAAGUCAUGGUUAAGUGGGAAACGAUGUGGGAAGGCUUAGACAGCUAGGAGGUUGGCUUAGAAGCAGCCACCCUUUAAAGAAAGCGUAAUAGCUCACUAGUCGAGUCGGCCUGCGCGGAAGAUGUAACGGGGCUCAAACCAUGCACCGAAGCUACGGGUAUCAUCUUUUGAUGAUGCGGUAGAGGAGCGUUCUGUAAGCCUGUGAAGGUGAGUUGAGAAGCUUGCUGGAGGUAUCAGAAGUGCGAAUGCUGACAUGAGUAACGACAAUGGGUGUGAAAAACACCCACGCCGAAAGACCAAGGUUUCCUGCGCAACGUUAAUCGACGCAGGGUUAGUCGGUCCCUAAGGCGAGGCUGAAAAGCGUAGUCGAUGGAAAACAGGUUAAUAUUCCUGUACUUCUGGUUAUUGCGAUGGAGGGACGGAGAAGGCUAGGCCAGCCUGGCGUUGGUUGUCCAGGUUUAAGGUGGUAGGCUGAGAUCUUAGGUAAAUCCGGGAUCUUAAGGCCGAGAGCUGAUGACGAGUGUUCUUUUAGAACACGAAGUG